AACGAACGCUGGCGGCAUGCCUAACACAUGCAAGUCGAACGAGACCUUCGGGUCUAGUGGCGCACGGGUGCGUAACGCGUGGGAACCUGCCUUUAGGUUCGGGAUAACUCAGAGAAAUUUGAGCUAAUACCGGAUAAUGUCUUCGGACCAAAGAUUUAUCGCCUUUAGAUGGGCCCGCGUUGGAUUAGCUAGUUGGUGGGGUAAAGGCCUACCAAGGCGACGAUCCAUAGCUGGUCUGAGAGGAUGAUCAGCCACACUGGGACUGAGACACGGCCCAGACUCCUACGGGAGGCAGUAGUGGGGAAUAUUGGACAAUGGCGAAAGCCUGAUCCAGCAAUGCCGCGUGAGUGAUGAAGGCCUUAGGGUUGUAAAGGACUCUUUUACCCGUAGAUGAUAAUGACAGUAAUCGGGAGGAAUAAGACUCCGGCUAACUCCGUGCCAGCAGCCGCGGU
rnacentral:rRNA from 1 species